AUUCAACAAUGAAGCGAGUGGCGAACUGGUGAGUAACACUGGGGAAUCUGCCCAGAAGCAGGGGAUAACACUUGGAAACAGAUGCUAAUACCGCAUAACAACUUGGACCGCAUGGUCCGAGUUUGAAAGAUGGCUUCGGCUAUCACUUUUGGAUGGUCCCGCGGUGUAUUAGCUAGAUGGUGGGGUAACGGCUCACCAUGGCAAUGAUACGUAGCCGACCUGAAAGGGUAAUCGGCCACAUUGGGACUGAGACACGGCCCAAACUCC
rnacentral:rRNA from 1 species